rnacentral:rRNA from 1 species
GAUGAACGCUGGCGGCGUGCCUAAUACAUGCAAGUCGAGCGAACGGACGAGAAGCUUGCUUCUCUGAUGUUAGCGGCGGACGGGUGAGUAACACGUGGAUAACCUACCUAUAAGACUGGGAUAACUUCGGGAAACCGGAGCUAAUACCGGAUAAUAUUUUGAACCGCAUGGUUCAAAAGUGAAAGACGGUCUUGCUGUCACUUAUAGAUGGAUCCGCGCUGCAUUAGCUAGUUGGUAAGGUAACGGCUUACCAAGGCAACGAUGCAUAGCCGACCUGAGAGGGUGAUCGGCCACACUGGAACUGAGACACGGUCCAGACUCCUACGGGAGGCAGCAGUAGGGAAUCUUCCGCAAUGGGCGAAAGCCUGACGGAGCAACGCCGCGUGAGUGAUGAAGGUCUUCGGAUCGUAAAACUCUGUUAUUAGGGAAGAACAUAUGUGUAAGUAACUGUGCACAUCUUGACGGUACCAAAUCAGAAAGCCACGGCUAACUACG